rnacentral:lncRNA from 1 species
AAUAAUUGACAUUUUCAAAUAUUAAUUUACCACAAAAUGAAAGUGAAGGAAGAAGUUGUGAGGCAAAAAUAAAGAGAAAUUAUUUGAAAAGGUGUCAAAUAGACAGGAAAACGGGCCCACAUGCAUUGAAUAGUUGGCAGCCAUUGAGUGGGUCACUAAUACACGUGGCAGCGUUUGCAUUUCACGCUUUUGGCUCCAAAAAUCGCGUGUUUAUUUAUUUAAAGGUAGGAUAGUUAAAGUGCCUAUUUGUGCAUUAUGAAAGUUGGAGGUCAAAGUUAAAAUUUGAAGCCAAGUUUAGGGGUCAAUAUAUGUAUUAUGCC